CCCAGUAUGGUGGAUAUGACACUCGGCUUGUAAUCGAGUGGGUUCGGGUUCGAAUCCCGAGUGAGGAA
rnacentral:tRNA from 1 species